CGAGCUAGAGUUGUUUGUGCGCGCGCCCAAUAGCACCGAACCUUGAAGUUUCAAGUGUACGUUUUACACAGUUGAAUCUUCGCAAGUCCAAUGGCUGAAAGAAAGGAAGGGUCUUCCCUCUAGUGGUGUACUCCUGAAAAUACACACUGAAACGGCCUACAUUUUGCAAGGUCUGAAUGCAGUGGUCUUAGCAUCCUGGAUUGUUGGGCAUGUGUCACUGAGCUCACUGGAUUCCGUCUCUGUCUUUCCUGCACUGGGGAAGCCUGUCAUACACAUAAGA